rnacentral:rRNA from 1 species
GAUGAACGCUAGCGGCAGGCUUAACACAUGCAAGUCGAGGGGCAGCAUGAAUCAAGCUUGCUUGAUUCGAUGGCGACCGGCGCACGGGUGCGUAACGCGUAUCCAAUCUACCCAUGGCUCAGGGAUAGCCUUGCGAAAGUAAGAUUAAUACCUGAUGGUCUCGCUUGGGGACAUCCCCCUGCGAGUAAAGAUUCAUCGGCGAUGGAUGGGGAUGCGUCCGAUUAGCUGGUUGGCGGGGUAACGGCCCACCAAGGCAACGAUCGGUAGGGGUUCUGAGAGGAAGGUCCCCCACACUGGAACUGAGACACGGUCCAGACUCCUACGGGAGGCAGCAGUGAGGAAUAUUGGUCAAUGGUCGAGAGACUGAACUAGCCAAGUAGCGUGAGGGAUGACUGCCCUAUGGGUUGUAGACCUCUUUUGUUUGGGAAUAAAGUGCGGUACGCGUACCGCUUUGUAUGUACCUUACGAAUAAGCAUCGGCUAAUUCCGUGCCAGCCGCCGCGGUAAGAC